GCACUCUGGCUUCUCUUCAUCAUGAAUAAAUCUUUUGCCUUUUACUAAAGAUUUCUGUGGAGAGAAGCCACAACAAGUUGCAACAUGUUUUUGGAGACCCCUGCAGGGGGCA
rfam:Alligator mississippiensis ScZkoYb_19, whole genome shotgun sequence.